rnacentral:rRNA from 1 species
AGUAACUGCGAGUGAAGCGGCAAAAGCUCAAAUUUGAAAUCGGUGUCCAUAAAGUACAUCGAGUUGUAAUUUGGAGGGACAACUUCGGGCCGAACCACACCGUAAGUUUUUUGGAACAGGACAUCAUAGAGGGUGAGAAUCCCGUGUCUUGGUGUAGGGUCAAAUGUGAAGUGUCUCCGACGAGUCGAGUUGUUUGGGAAUGCAGCUCAAAAUGGGUGGUAAAUUUCAUCUAAAGCUAAAUAUUGGCGAGAGACCGAUAGCGCACAAGUAGAGUGAUCGAAAGAUGAAAAGCACUUUGAAAAGAGAGUUAAAAAGUACGUGAAAUUGUUGAAAGGGAAGCGCUUGCGACCAGACUCGAUCUUUGGAGAUCAGCCGGGCUUCGGUUCGGUGCCCUCUUCAUUGAUUGGGCCAGCAUCGGUUCCGACGGUGGGAUAAAAGGAGGAGGAAUGUGGCUCCCCUCGGGGAGUGUUAUAGCCAUCUUCACAAUGCUACCAGUUGGGACCGAGGACCGCGCUUCGGCUAGGAUGCUGGUGUAAUGGUCUUAAGCGACCCGUCUUGAAACACGGACCAAGGAGUCUAACAUCUAUGCGAGUGUU